CUAAUGCUGUACAAUUAAACAUACUAAUAUAUAAAUGACAAAAAACUACAACAAAUAAAUCCACCAAAAUCCUAUCAAUUUUCUAUUUCUAUAUCUCCUUUGAUAUCUAUAUAUUAAUAAAUUACCAAAUCAAAAAGUUUGGUCUAAUUUUGGGAGUUUAUAGAUUGUAAUAUCUCCAUAAGCUUCAUUUUGCUCCACAUCUACACAGCCAGUAGUUUUCAGAACCUGAAAAACAUUAGACAGAAAACAAGGUAAAAAUGAAAACAAUUUCAUAUAAAACAUUCUCAUACUUUGGUUCGUUUUGAGGUCCAUGUCAUGAAUCAUGAGUAACGUGGUCUUACAUUUAUAACCAAAAAAUUAAAAAAAAGAAAAUAAUAAGAAAUUACACUGAUAUAUCCAAUGAGUUUUGUUGACAUAGUUCAUAACUCACUAUAGACGGUAUGAUGUGUUUCUUGGAAGGCAUGGUGUGGUGUGUAAUAAGCAUAUAUAUAUAUAAGAAAUUUCAGUGUAAUAUGUUUCAAACAAAGGGGUUAUGCAGGAGUAAAAAGAGGAGUAUUAGAGAAAAUUUGACAAAACUCAGGAUAUAUAUGUGUAAUUUACUCAAAAUAAAAUGUUGCAGUCCUAGUUUAAUCUAAGAAUGGACUGGUAUUUCUACCAAAGGUUUUUCCUCUUUGAAUAUUCAAGCAUCGGAAAAAAAGCAAUGGCAAUAUCUUAUAGUAUCACACAUGCACAUUGUUAGGAAUGGGGACAAGACCGAGAAGAAAGGGGAACGACUUUUACAGGUCAAAAAAGGUAAAUUGUAAUUAGUUAUAACCAGGUAGUAGUUAUGUGUUUAGAGUAAAAGGACCUAAUAAAUAGGUCCUCAUGUGUAAUUGGGUUCUUUUUAGCUUAUGUUUUCCAACUUUGGUGAAUCUACUAAACUAUUGAGUGGUCCUUUUGGGGUAAUUAUGUUUACCCUGUUAUGACUGCUGAAGGUGUGUGAAGAAAUACAGUUCAUUUCAAUCACACUGUUCUGUAACAGUGAAAGAGUUUUCAGAGUUAGGAUUUCUAUUUUUUGUUGUUUUUAUAUCUAAGGUGCUUUUGUUUGGAACAACCUAAAAGCUGGACUGAGUUUAUUCCAUGGGCUGAAUAUUGGUAUAAUAUCAUAUUUCAAAGGGUGGCUGUUAGGCAAGAAGAUAAGGAGAAAGUGUGGAAGGUGUAUUAUAGAAGGAAAUUUAAGAAUACUGAAUAAAGAGGGUUUCGGGUAGUUUUGUUUGUUACGGUUGGUCUUUAAAAAAAGACCAACCUGUGUGUGUUGUUUUGUUUGUUUCGGGUUGAAGGUCUCUUUUUGGUAUGUGUGUUGUUUUGACAGGAGUAAUACUUAUGUGAACAUAACAAUUUGGUUCGACCUGUUGGAUCAGAAGGGUGUGGGAGAGAAUAUGGAGAGAAUAUGGAAUAGAGGAUGAGUGUUGUGGAUAAAUUGACCAGCGAACAAGGAAGAGUGAUGGCGAAAAUAAGAGCAGAUAUCACGAGUUUGAAGGAAAGCAUGUUAGACUUGAAGGAAAUUAAAGAAAUGUUGUGGGACAUCAAGAAAGGAGACUAUUAAAGGAAAAGAAAGAAUAGGGUAAAUCCCUUGUGUAUAUUGAACACAUAGGGUUAUGUUUAUAUAGGAAAAGAAACAUAUGGGCUAAGCCCAUUACAUAAAUAUGAGAUAUCUAACAAUAUCUAUAAUAUCUCAUAAUAUCUCAUAAUAUCAAAUAAUAUCUAAUAAUAUCUAAUAAUAUCUAAUUAUAUCUAAUAAUAUCUAAUAAUAUCUAAUAAUAUCUAAUAAUAUCUAAUAAUAUCUAACACUCCCCUCAAGCUGGUGCAUAUAGAUCAUAUGUACCCAGCUUGUUACAAAUGUAAUCAAUCCUAGACCCUCGUAAGGGUUUAGUAAAAAUAUCUGCUAAUUGAUUAUUUGAAUUAACAAACUCAGUCUUGAUAUCUUCCGAUAUAAUCUUUUUUCGAAUGAAAUGACAAUCAACCUUAAUAUGUUUUGUCCUUUCAUGAAAAACUGGAUUUGAGCUAAUAUGAAGAACAGCCUGAUUAUCACAUAUAAGUGUUAAUUGAGUAACCUCUCCAAAUUGUAAUUCUUUACGUAACUGUUUAAGCCAAAUAAGCUCACAAGUAGCCGAGGCCAUAGCUCUAUAUUCUGCUUCUGCACUAGAUCUUGCCACAACACUUUGUUUCUUGCUCUUCCAAGAGAUCAAGUUAUCACCGAUGAAGACACAAUAACUAGAAGUUGAUCUUCUAUCAGAUGGAGAUCCUGCCUAAUCAAUAUCUGAAUAACAAACGACUUUAGUAUGAUUAUUAUGACCAUAUAACAAACAUUUUCCAGGAGAGCCUUUAAUGUACUUCACUAUACGAAUUCCAAUGAUCUUUACAUGGAGAAUUAAGAAAUUGACUCACCACACUGACUGCAAAGGAAAUAUCAGGACGAGUAACAGUGAGAUAGUUCAAUUUUCCAACUAAUCUCCUGUACUUCUCAGGAUCUGAAAGAGGCUCCCCCUGAUUGGGUAGAAGCUUGACAUUGGGAUCCAUGAGAGUAUCAACAGAUUUCGAAUUCAUCAACCCAAUUCCCUCCAAAAUAUCUAAUGCGUAUUUUCUUUAAGAGAUAGCAAUACCAGUAUUGGAUUGUGCUACCUCAAUCCCCAAGAAAUAUCUGAGUUUGCCAAGAUCUUUGGUCUGAAAGUGUUGACAAAUGUGUUGUUUUACUUGUGAGAUGCCAUGGUGAUCACUGCCUGUAAGAACAAUGUCAUCAACAUAUACUACAAGAUAGAUACACCCAACACUCGAGUGACGAUAAAAAACUGAAUGAUCUCCUUCACUGCGAGUCAUACCAAAUUGUUGAACAACAUUGCUAAAUUUUCAAACCAAGCCCUAGGAGACUGCUUGAGGCCAUAUAAGGAUUUGCGAAGACGACAUACCAAUCCAGAAGACUGCUCUUGAGCAACAAAAUCGGGAGGUUGCUCCAUAUAAAUUUCUUCCUGCAAAUCCCCAUUAAGAAAAGCAUUUUUAACAUCCAGUUGAUAAAGAGACCAUUGUUGAAGAGCAGCCAUAGCUAUGAAUAAGCGAACAAAGGCCAUCUUUGCUACUGGAGAAAAAGUAUCACCAUAGUCUAAACCAAAAAUUUGGGUAUAACCCUUAGCCACAAGACGAGCUUUGAGACAAUCAAUAGUACCAGUGGAAAGAAAUAGAUGAAAUAUAUUUCUGAGAUAUCUUACAAAUGUGAUUACAGUCUCUAUUUAUAGACUGUUUUACAACCUAAUUAAAGAAAGAAAUAAUAGGCAAUGAAAGCCAGAAAUAAUGAGUGUUUAAAGCUGUACAAAUCAAAUAAAAUCAAAUCACUAACAAAUCUGUCCUAAUAAAUAUAAAAUGGAAUCUGCACUUAAUUAUAACAUAAUUCUCCUAAUUAUGCAACACUCCCCCUCAAGUUGGUGAAUGUAUAUCUAUCAUUCCCAACUGCAAGUAAGAUCUUCGAAUUGUUUUAUGGGAAGUCCCUUAGUAAACAUAUCUGCCAAUUGGAGUCUUGAAGGGAUGUACUCAGUGGCUAUAAGACCAUCAUCCUUCUCUUUAAUAAAGUGUCGGUCUAUCUCUACGUGCUUUGUUCGAUCAUGUUGAAUCGGAUUGUGUGCAAUACUGAUAGCGGACUUAUUAUCACAUGCCAAACCCAUAGGAGCUUCAUAUUUUAUUUUUAGGUCAUCAAGUAUGAUCUUCAUCCAUAAGAGUUCACACACCCCUUGAGCCAUGGCUCUAAAUUCUGCCUCUGCACUUGAUCUUGCAACUACAUUUUGCUUCUUGCUCCUCCAUGUCACCAGAUUUCCACCCAAGAACAUGCAGUAGCCUGUGGUGGAUCUCUUAUCAACAAUCGAUCCUGCAUAGUCAGCAUCAGUAUAUACUUUCAUGGAUAAGUUUUCCCCCUUUUGAAUAGCAAUCCUUUUCCUGGAGAGGCUUUUAAGUACUGAAUAAUUUUAUCUACUGCCUGCAAGUGUCUUUCUCUUGGAUCAUGCAUAAAUUGACUAACCACACUAACUGCAUAGGCUAUAUCUGGCCUAGUGUGUGAAAGAUAAAUGAGUUUUCCCACAAUUCUUUGAUAUUGUGUCUUCUCCACUUUUGGGUUUUCCUCAUCAUUCCCAAUCCUAUGAUUUUGCUCUAUUGGCACUCCAGUGGGCUUACAACCCAACUUACCAAUCUCUUUGAGAAGAUCAAGGAUGUAUUUCCUUUGAGAAAUAAAGAUGCCCUGUCUCGAGUAAGCAACCUCUAUCCCAAGGAAGUACUUCAACUUCCCAAGAUCCUUCAUUUCAAAUUGAGCAGCUAGUCUCUCCCUCAAAUUUUGUUUUUCAAUCUCAUCAUCACCUGUAAUAAUCAUAUCAUCUACAUAGACCAAAAGUAGAGUGAGUUUACCAUUCUGAGAAUGUUUUAUAAACAGAGUAUGGUCACCUUGGCUUUGUCGGUACCCCAAAGAUAUCAUAGCUUGAGUAAACCUUCCAAACCAAGCACGAGGUGAUUGUUUAAGACCAUAUAGGGCCUUCUUAAGUCUGCACGCCUUAUUCCCUUCAUUAACAAUACCAUAACCAGGUGGAAUCUCCAUGUAUACUUCUUCCUCCAAGCUUCCAUGCAAGAAGGCAUUUUUAACAUCAAAUUGAUGCAUUGCCCAACCAAAGUGUGUUGCCAGGGAGAGAAUAAUCCUGACGGUAUUCAUUUUUGCCACUGGAGCAAAAGUCUCCUCAUAAUCGAUCCCAUAGGUUUGAGUGUACCCUUUUGCAACCAACCUUGCUUUAUACCGAUCCAGUGUGCCAUCAGACUUAUACUUAACUGUGUAUAUCCACCUACAACCCACUGCUUUCUUAUCUUUUAAUCUCUCUACAAUCUCCCAAGUCUCAUUCCUUUCUAACGCGCUCAUUUCUUCAUUCAUGGCUCGAAUCCAGUUCUCAUCUUUUAAGGCUUCUUGUACCGAUGAAGGGAUUUUGAUAGAAUCAAUAGCUGAAAGAAAACUCUGGUGCUGCAUAGAAAGUUUUUCUGUAGACACAAAUUGGGAUAUAGGAUAUUUGGCACAAGAUCUUUUUUCUUUUCUCAAGGCAAUAGGUAAAUCAUUUAGGUUAGGUUCAAAAGCAGUAUUUAAGGUGUCCUCAAGAGUCUCACUGGUAUGAGUUCUUACCUCUGGUUCAGACAAUUGAAGUUGCUGUUCGACCAGGACGGGUUCUUGUUGCCUUCGCUGAUAUUGUUUUCCAAAAUAUUUGUCUUCAUUAUUCUUCUCUGGUAAUGAUGUUGGUGCAGGGUCUUUGUCAUCCUCCCUAAGAACGAAAUCCUGCAACAAAGGAAAAGGUGGCAACUCAAGGUCCUCAGCUUCUUGAAUACUCUCCCCCUGAAGCUGAGAACUAGGAAAGAAAGACUCUGUUUCAUGGAAGGUGACAUCUUUGGAAAUAUACACUUUACGACUUUGAGGAUGAUAACAUUUGUAUCCCUUUUUGUUGGGGGCAUAACCUAUGAAGACACAUUUGAUGGCACGAGGAUCUAACUUACCUCGAUAAGGACUAUGAACAUGGACAAAAGCAAGACAACCAAAGACACGAUUCUGAAGACUAUUCAACAUGGGAAUAGAAGGAUAGAAUGUGGUCAUAACCUGAAUAGGAGUAACACCCUCUAGAACCCGAGAGGGUAAUCUAUUAAUCAAAUAAGUGGCAGUCAGGACUGCUUCCCCCCAGUAAGAUCUAGGAACAGAUGUUUGGAAAAGUAAAGCUCGAGUAACCUCAAGGAGAUGACGAUUUUUCCUUUCAGCAACCCCAUUUUGUUGAGGAGUGUCCACACAGGUUAAUUCAUGAACAACUCCAUUUUCCUCAAGGAACUUGGAAAGGUUUUGGUUCACAUAUUCUCUUCCAUUAUCAGAACGCAAUCUCUUAAUUGGACUUUCAAAUUGUGUUUGAAUCAUUCUGUAAAACUUUACAAACAAGUGAAAAACUUCAGACUUAUCUUUCAUGAGGAAUAUCCAAGUAACCCGAGUACAAUCAUCAAUAAAUGAAACAAACCAUUUUGCACCCGAGAUAUUAGGAAUAGAUGAAGGUCCCCAUACAUCUGAAUGAAUAAGAUCAAAAGGUUUAGAACUUUUAUUACCAUUGGGAGGAAAAGUUGUCCGAUGGUGUUUAGCAAACUGACAAACAUCACAAUGAAAUGACUCAGCAGACACUUUUGUAAAUAAAACAGGAAAUAAGGACUUUAGGGUACUAAAUGGAGGAUGACCAAGACGUCUGUGUUGAAGCCAUAUCUGAGAGGAUGACCAAGAUUCACGACCUUGCUGAAGAUUAGAAGUGUGUGCCUGUAGUCUAGCAUCCUUUUUACUUUCUUCAUGCUGUAAAUAAUAUAACCCGCCCUACUCUUUAGCAAUUCCAAUAGUCUUCCCCGUGGCAAGAUCCUGAAAAACACAAUGGGAAGGGAAAAAUACCACUGCACAAUUUAAAUCUUGGGUAAUCUUUUGAAUAGACAAGAGGUUAUUGGAUAGUUUGGGAACAUGAAACACAUUUUUUAAAGGAAAUGAAGGUUGAAGGUGAAUGUUACCACGACCAUUAAUGGGGGUAGUGGAACCAUUAGCAACAGUAAUAUAUGGCUUACCGGAUAAAGUAGUGUAGGAUGAAAAAAAAGAGGAAUGAGGUGUCAUAUGAUCAGUAGCACCAGAGUCUAUAAUCCAGAUAUUUUCAGUACUAGAAGCAUUAAAGGAUAAAAAACUAGAACUCUUACCACUCAUAGUAAAGGAACAAUAGCUAGAUGGCUUACUAAGGGAGUCCAUGAGAGUUCAAAACCAACUUUUUUCAGAUUGGCAAAAUUUGAUCCUGUUCACGCACACAAAAAAAUCUCCGCCGGAAAAAUUUUCCGGUGGCGGUUUCCGGCGAGCAGUGGCAGUUCCGGCGAGCGACGGCAAUGGUGGUCGGUGGUGGUGGUCGGUGGUGGUCAAUGGCGGUGGCAGUAACGGUCAAUGGUGCAAGGUGGUGGUGGUGGUCAAUGGAGAAAGGAUAAGGAAAAUAAAAAGUUGCAGCAAUGAAGGCUGUCCAAAAAAAAAAAAAAAAUAAUUGCAGCAAUAAAGGCUGUCAAGGAAAAUGAUUACAGCAAUGACGGCUGUCAAGGAAAAUGAUUACAGCAAUGAAGGCUAAAAAAAUUGCGGAAGUAGAGUCUCCUAGAUCAGGAGCUCUGAUACCAUAUUACGAAGUGGACUAUAAGCCUAACUCAACCCCAUAAAACCGGUUCAUAGGGUUGAGGUUUGCACCCACUUAUAUACAAUGAAAGGCUCUAAUCUCUAGUCGAUGUGGGAUCUCCAACACACCCCCUCACGCCGAGACUGCCAACUCGUGCGUGGGACUAUAUAUUAUGGGUGGUCCGAUAGCGGCCCGAUAGGCCCAACACAAACACUCGCUAGGAUAGGCUCGAAAUGGCUCUGAUACCAUAUUAGAAAGUGGACUUUAAGCCUAACUCAACCCCAUAAAACCGGCUCAUAGGGUUGAGGUUUGCACCCACUUAUAUACAAUGAAAUGUCCUAACACACCCCCUCACGCCGAGACUGCCAACUCGUGCAUGGGACUAUAGAUUAUGGGUGAUCCGAUAGCGGCCCGAUAGCGGGUGGCACGAUAGGCCCAACAAACACUCGCUAGGAUAGGCUUUAAAUGGCUCUGAUACCAUAUGGAAAGAAAUAGAUGAAAUAUAUUUCUGAGAUAUCUUACAAAUGUGAUUACAGUCUCUAUUUAUAGACUGUUUUACAACCUAAUUAAAGAAAGAAAUAAUAGGCAAUGAAAGCCAGAAAUAAUGAGUGUUUAAAGCUGUACAAAUCAAAUAAAAUCAAAUCACUAACAAAUCUGUCCUAAUAAAUAUAAAAUGGAAUCUGCACUUAAUUAUAACAUAAUUCUCCUAAUUAUGCAACAGUACCAUCAGAACAAACUUUGAUAGCAAAAAUCCACCUGCAACCAACAACAAAUUUCCUAGAUGGUAAAGGAACAAGUUCCCAAGUUCCAUUAUUCUGAAGCGCAUUCAUUUCAUCAAGCAUGACCUGACGCCAACCAAGAUGAGCUAAGGCAUCACUUACAGAUUUUGGAAUGGAUACAGAAGAAAUAGACGAAANNNNNNNNNNNNNNNNNNNNNNNNNNNNNNNNNNNNNNNNNNNNNNNNNNNNNNNNNNNNNNNNNNNNNNNNNNNNNNNNNNNNNNNNNNNNNNNNNNNNUAUAAAAGGGUUGAGAUAGUCUAUGGUAACUCAAAAAAGUAUAAUGGAGAGAGGGAUUACGAGUAGAACGUAUACCUUUACGGAUAGCAAUAGGA
rnacentral:lncRNA from 1 species